rnacentral:ribozyme from 1 species
AAAAAGAAAGCAAGAAAACGAGAAAAGCAAAAAGAAAAUCAACCGAGGAAGAAUUGUUUUCAGAAUC